rnacentral:rRNA from 1 species
GAGUGCCAGGAUACAAUCUUGGCUGUCGUAAUGCCUAAAAAGCAUUGCAUAGCAAGGGCCGGGCAAGACCGGUGCCAGCCGCCGCGGUAACACCGGCGGCUCGAGUGGUAACCGCUAUUAUUGGGUCUAAAGGGUCUGUAGCCGGCCGGAUAAGUCUUUUGGGAAAUCUGGCAGCUUAACUGUCAGGCUUUCAGAAGAUACUGUUUCGGCUCGAGGCCGGGAGAGGUGAGAGGUACUUCAGGGGUAGGGGUGAAAUCUUGUAAUCCUUGAAGGACCACCAGUGGCGAAGGCGUCUCACCAGAACGGUCCUGACGGCAAGGGACGAAAGCUAGGGGCACGAACCGGAUUAGAUACCCGGGUAGUCCUAGCCGUAAACGAUACUCGCUAGGUGUCGGCCACGGUGCGACCGUGGUCGGUGCCGUAGGGAAGCCGUGAAGCGAGCCACCUGGGAAGUACGGCCGCAAGGCUGAAACUUAAAGGAAUUGGCGGGGGAGCAC